rnacentral:rRNA from 1 species
ACGAACGCUGGCGGCAGGCUUCACACAUGCAAGUCGAGCGCCCCGCAAGGGGAGCGGCAGACGGGUGAGUAACGCGUGGAACGUACCUUUUGGUUCGGAACAACUCCGGGAAACUGGAGCUAAUACCGGAUAAGCCCUAACGGGGAAAGAUUUAUCGCCGAAAGAUCGGCCCGCGUCUGAUUAGCUAGUUGGUGAGGUAACGGCUCACCAAGGCGACGAUCAGUAGCUGGUCUGAGAGGAUGAUCAGCCACACUGGGACUGAGACACGGCCCAGACUCCUACGGGAGGCAGCAGUGGGGAAUAUUGGACAAUGGGCGCAAGCCUGAUCCAGCCAUGCCGCGUGAGUGAUGAAGGCCUUAGGGUUGUAAAGCUCUUUUGUCCGGGAAGAUAAUGACUGUACCGGAAGAAUAAGCCCCGGCUAACUUCGUG